rnacentral:rRNA from 1 species
AAUGAACGUUGGCGGCGUGGAUUAGGCAUGCAAGUCGUGCGAGAAUCUCCCUUCGGGGAGAGGACAGCGGCGAAAGGGAGAGUAACGCGUGGUUACAUACCCUCGGGACCGGGAUAGUAGCGGGAAACUGCUAGUAAUACCGGAUAAUAUCUUUGGAUCAAAGGUGUGAUUCCGCCCGAGGAUUGGACCGCGUUCUAUUAGCUUGUUGGCGGGGGAAUGGCCCACCAAGGCGACGAUGGAUACCGGGUGGGAGAGCAUGGCCCGGCUCACUGGGACUGAGACACUGCCCAGACCCCUACGGGUGGCUGCAGUAGAGAAUCUUCGGCAAUGGGGGCAACCCUGACCGAGCGACGCCGCGUGCGGGAUGAAGGCCCUCGGGUUGUAAACCGCUGUCAGUUGGGAGGAAGUGCCAGGGGGUUCUCCCCUUGGUUUGACCGAUCCUCAGAGGAAGGACGGGCUAAGUUCGUGCCAGCCGCCGCAGUAAAAC